ensembl:lncRNA
GUCUGACUUAUCAACUUGCUAGUGUGCCCUUCCCUAGCUAAAGAAUCUUCUGGUUAGUACUGUAGCUACGUAGCAGGUUAUGGAAUACAGUCUAAACAGCACAUCUUUAAAUACAGUGUCCAUUCUCACUGAUAUGAUCAGAUUUCUAUAAUGCCAACUAUUCAUACUUAAAUAGUCAUUUGAACAGGCUUAGCCAAUGUGGGUUAAAGUGAACAAUUCUGGGAGGCUGCAAGGGCAGUGAAACCGUCUUGAGUUUUAAAGUCAGAUAUACCCAGCUGUAAAUCCUGGCAUUGACACUUACUACCCUAUUUCCUCUGGGUUAUUUCCUUGACUUCUCUGAGACCAUGUCUGUAAAUGGGGGUAACACCUAUUUCACAGUCGGGUUGACAACAGUGCUUCAUUCCUGGUAGGUGCUAAAUAUUUGUUAACCCCUUCCCCCUACUAGAGUGUUCUGACAUAAUGACCAUGUGAGCAUGAACAUUUUGACCCCUGUUUCUUAGGACUUAUUCCUUGUAUUUACCCAUUGCUGGCCUUGAUCAGCAGCUGCUUCUGCAGUUGGAGAACUCAGCUCCUGUUGAAGCUGGCUGAAGCUGAAUUAGAAUGAAAUGCAUGGGGUAAUGGAAAAAGAGCAACUCUGCCGUUUCAGUGGAUGAAUGAGGAUGGUAGACUUUUACACAAAGGUGGAUCCUAACCAGGAGGGACCUGCUGCCAUUAACAUCUCAUUUGUUCAGCUGUAUUUAUCUGCCAUAGAGAGAGAGAAAGAGAGAGGGAGAGAAGAAGAAAGCCAAGGCUCUUCUCUCACAAGCACCAGAUCUGUACAUGAUCAAAUUCUGCUUCCUCUUCAAAGUCUGUGAAUCUUUUCCCUUCUCCCUCAUCUCUUCC